GACGUAGGGCGCGAGCGUUGUCCGGAAUUAUUGGGCGUAAAGAGCUCGUAGGCGGCUUGUCACGUCGGGUGUGAAAGCCCGGGGCUUAACCCCGGGUCUGCAUUCGAUACGGGCUGGCUAGAGUGUGGUAGGGGAGAUCGGAAUUCCUGGUGUAGCGGUGAAAUGCGCAGAUAUCAGGAGGAACACCGGUGGCGAAGGCGGAUCUCUGGGCCAUUACUGACGCUGAGGAGCGAAAGCGUGGGGAGCGAACAGG
rnacentral:rRNA from 1 species